rnacentral:rRNA from 1 species
ACGCUGGCGGCAUGCUUUACACAUGCAAGUCGGACGGCAGCACAGAGGAGCUUGCUUCUUGGGUGGCGGGUGGCGAACGGGUGAGUAACAUAUCGGAACGUACCGAGUAGUGGGGGAUAACUGAUCGAAAGAUCAGCUAAUACCGCAUACGUCUUGAGAGGGGAAGCAGGGGACCUUCGGGCCUUGCGCUAUUCGAGCGGCCGAUAUCUGAUUAGCUAGUUGGUGGGGUAAAGGCCUACCAAGGCGACGAUCAGUAGCGGGUCUGAGAGGAUGAUCCGCCACACUGGGACUGAGACACGGCCCAGACUCCUACGGGAGGCAGCAGUGGGGAAUUUUGGACAAUGGGCGCAAGCCUGAUCCAGCCAUGCCGCGUGUCUGAAGAAGGCCUUCGGGUUGUAAAGGACUUUUGUCAGGGAAGAAAAGGCUGUUGCUAAUAUCAGCGGCUGAUGACGGUACCUGAAGAAUAAGCACCGGCUAACUACGUGCCAGCAGCCGCGGUAAUACGUAGGGUGCGAGCGUUAAUCGGAAUUACUGGGCGUAAAGCGAGCGCAGACGGUUACUUAAGCAGGAUGUGAAAUCCCCGGGCUCAACCUGGGAACUGCGUUCUGAACUGGGUGACUAGAGUGUGUCAGAGGGAGGUAGAAUUCCACGUGUAGCAGUGAAAUGCGUAGAGAUGUGGAGGAAUACCGAUGGCGAAGGCAGCCUCCUGGGAUAACACUGACGUUCAUGCUCGAAAGCGUGGGUAGCAAACAGGAUUAGAUACCCUGGUAGUCCACGCCCUAAACGAUGUCAAUUAGCUGUUGGGCAACUUGAUUGCUUAGUAGCGUAGCUAACGCGUGAAAUUGACCGCCUGGGGAGUACGGUCGCAAGAUUAAAACUCAAAGGAAUUGACGGGGACCCGCACAAGCG